rnacentral:rRNA from 1 species
AGCGGAGGGAGCUAGCGUUGUUCGGAAUACUGGGCGUAAAGCGCGCGUAGGCGGCUUUGUAAGUUAGAGGUGAAAGCCCGGGGCCUCAACCCCGGAAUUGCCUUUAAGACUGCAUCGCUAGAAUCCAGGAGAGGUGAGUGGAAUUCCGAGUGUAGAGGUGAAAUUCGUAGAUAUUCGGAAGAACACCAGUGGCGAAGGCGGGCUCACUGGACUGGUAUUGACGCAUGAGGUGGCGAAAGCGUGGGGAGCAAACAGG